rnacentral:rRNA from 1 species
GGAUUGAACGCUGGCGGCAUGCCUUACACAUGCAAGUCGAACGGUAGAGUAGCAAUACUUGAGAGUGGCGAACGGGUGAGUAAUAUAUCGGAACGUGCCCAGUCGUGGGGGAUAACGUAGAGAAAUUUACGCUAAUACCGCAUACGAUCUAAGGAUGAAAGCGGGGGACCGUAAGGCCUCGCGCGAUUGGAGCGGCUGAUAUCAGAUUAGGUUGUUGGUGAGGUAAAAGCUCACCAAGCCGACGAUCUGUAGCUGGUUUGAGAGAACGACCAGCCACACUGGGACUGAGACACGGCCCAGACUCCUACGGGAGCAGCAGUGGGGAAUUUGGACAAUGGGCGAAAGCCUGAUCCAGCAAUGCCGCGUGCAGGAAGAAGGCCUUCGGGUGUAAACUGCUUUGUACGAACGAACGUCUGCUUUAAUACAGUGGCUAAUGACGGUACCGUAAGAAUAAGCAACCGGCUAACUACGUGCCAGCAGCCGC